rnacentral:rRNA from 1 species
GCCCCAGACUCCUACGGGAGGCAGCAGUAAGGGAUAUUGGUCAAUGGGGGAAACCCUGAACCAGCAACGCCGCGUGAGGGAAGACGGUUUUCGGAUUGUAAACCUCUGUCCUCUGUGAAGAUGAUGACGGUAGCAGAGGAGGAAGCUCCGGCUAACUACGUGCCAGCAGCCGCGGUAAUACGUAGGGAGCGAGCGUUGUCCGGAUUUACUGGGUGUAAAGGGUGCGUAGGCGGCUUGGCAAGUCAGUAGUGAAAUCCAUGGGCUUAACCCAUGAACUGCUAUUGAAACUGUCGAGCUUGAGUGAAGUAGAGGUAGGCGGAAUUCCCGGUGUAGCGGUGAAAUGCGUAGAGAUCGGGAGGAACACCAGUGGCGAAGGCGACUUUCUGGACGAUAACUGACGUUGAGGCACGAAAGUGUGGGGAGCAAACAGGAUUAGAUACCCGAGUAA